UCUUGUCUCCUCGCGUCAUCUUGUCUCCCAGUGUCCAGUAGGGCAGAGGGGGAUGCCCAGAGGCAGGAUGAAAAACCACAGUCUUCAGAGCUUGUAGAGAGUGCCUGAGAGGCCUGGAGGAGACUUGGGACCUGCUUUCACAACUGCAGAGAGAAUCCUUCCAGUGUGCUGGCUGACAGUUCCAUGAGGAUGGCAAAAGUGAAGAAAUUGUAGCGCCAGUAAAAAAGAGAUGGAUACACUUCUUGGGAAUUUUUUAAGCUAUGGGACAUGAUGAAUUAAUGGUGCAUGAGUAUACUCUUCACUGUGAAAGUUUUUGUUUUCACAUCUUUCAUUAGAUGUGUGUAAGAAAAAGAUACUGAACGUAGUAUCUACUAACCCAAUAAUGAAAAGGAAUGCCAUUUGCUAUUUACACUUUAUUACUAAAAUAAACCUAAAUUUAAUUAAUAAAUUUUGGAAACAUA
rnacentral:lncRNA from 1 species